GACAGAGGGUGCAAACGUUGCUCGGAAUCACUGGGCGUAAAGGGCGUGUAGGCGGGAAGGAAAGUCAGAUGUGAAUCCCUGGGCUCAACCCAGGAACUGCAUUUGAAACUCCCUUUCUUGAGUACCGGAGAGGAAGGUGGAAUACCUGGUGUAGAGGUGAAAUUCGUAGAUAUCAGGUGGAACACCAGUGGCGAAAGGCGGCCUUCUGGACGGUAACUGACGCUGGAGACGCGAAAGCGUGGGGGAGCAAACAGG
rnacentral:rRNA from 1 species